CAUGCCGAUCACACCAGCUGCAUCGUUUAUAUCAGCUGUAUCUUCCACGCCGGCCUUAUCACCAACAAUAGCUGCAUCAUCAACUGGCGCUCCUGUGUCCGCCUGUGGACUUCAGAUGCAAACACAUACAACUCUAUGGGGAAGAAGUAAAGCAAACUAUCAUCAACGACGGCUCUAUCACCAAGGAUAUCAACCUCAUCAGCUCCAGCGUCCGCCUGUUCACAUUUAGAUACACAAUCCGACAAAUCUACGGCACGUGUGUCUCCCCAACCAGCUGCAUCGCCUAUAGUUGUUGUAUUUUCCACGCCAGCAUUACGACCAACAACAGCUCUAUCAACCAGCAGCUCCAGCGUCUGCAGGCGCACAUACAGAUUCACAAACAGAUAAAACUAUGGUUCACAGCACGUGUGUCUUCCACAACAGCUUCAUAAUCCAUGACAGCUGUGUAGUCCAUGCAAGCUGUAUCGUCAACGCCGGCUUUAUCAUCAACAAUAGCCCAAUCCACCACAUCUGAUCCAAUAUCCGCCUGUGUACAUCUUGAUCCACAAACAAAAGAAGUAACGUUUGUAACAAAGCUUUAUAUCUAUCGUUGGAUAUUGCGGAGUGAAUUCAUAUAGUGAGCACUGUGUUUAAAUAUAAACUAGACCAGUCAUGUAUUACAAAUAGAACAAAUUUGUAAGGAAUUCGGCAUGACAUAUUGAUUAAUUGAAAUGAUAAAUUACUUGACAAAUAACGAUACUGGCGCAAUAAAAGCAAUGUCAUUUGACAGCAUGCAUAUUCAACACAUGAUUUUGAUAAAUGAAAGAAAACGUCAUUAUUGAAGUCGUAUCCUUCAGGAGCGCAGCUUUAAAAAAAAUCACAAUAACUGUUUGACAGUAAUGAUAAAUUUAAUUUCCACCAGUACCUCCUUAUAAGUUAUGUUCGUUAUGACAGUAAUGAAUCGUUAGUAUUAAGUAUAUGUUGUCUGCAAUAAUUUGGCCAUUUUGACAAGAUAAUCUUGGUUUGAAAGCAAUGAUCCGAUAUUAUAUCCCAAUCCUUAAAAAAAGAUAAAAAGGAGGUUCAAAGAAAACCUCAUGUGGAACUAAGAUACAGGACCUUUACACGGUUCAUUAACUGAGUUAACUUUAUUUUUGCCUCAUGAAAACAAUCCACAGCUCUUAUUUGUUAGACACUAUAUAUGGAUUUUUGAAGUCUUUGUUAGUAAAGGGAAAUAACUAAAAUUAAAUUGAGAAGCCCAAUGAUGAAAACAUAUAUCGAGUGUAUGUAUAGUCGAAGUUGUUUAUUAAUAUUGUAUUUUAACUCUAUACGUUUAAAGGAAUAGCUUACUAUAGAUAAUUCCAGCCAUAAAUGAUAAUAAUCGACAGUCCUUUUCAAAUAGACAGUAUGAUUUCCGAAUAAAAGGUCAAAUUUUCGUUGGGAUCUAAGACAACCCACAACAUCCACGACAUUUUAUGUCCUACGAAUAUUUAUGACUUCAAAGUAUGUUAUCAAUAUUAAAUACAGUCGAACCCCGAUGGCUCGAACUCUCAGGGACCGAGAAAAAUACAUUGAGCCUCGAAAAAUUUGAGCCAAGCGGGAUUGUUUACCUCAGUAUAAAUAAAGCGGUCCUUAACAUCCAAUUCGAGCCAACGAAGAAUUCGAGCCAAGCGAGUUCGAGCCAUUGGGGUUCGACUGUAUAUUAAAAAAUGUCGAAAUUACAUUUGUGUUGAGAACUCUUUAUAAAUUGAAAUGGGCAGAUAUCUAGAUAUUGAUAGAAAUGCUAGACUUUGUAAAUGUUGUUAUUUGAGAGCAGUCGAAUACGUUUUAUUUUAUGUUGCCCCUAAAUCAUUGUAUAAAUGUAGCAUUCUCGACUGUUCAAAAGUGUAUUAAGUGAAUGUCGUGUGAAAAAUCAAAAACAAUUAGAAAUGUUUCUAAUCAUAUUCAUCAUGCUAUGUUAACUAGACAAGAAGGACUUGAUAAUAUUCAUGCUUCUUAACUUUUGUUUACUAUCUACCUUAAUGUUUUUUAAUAUAAACAUGUACUCCUUAAAACAUUACAUGUAAUUGUGAUGUAAAAAUUGUCAUUUGGCCGUCUAUGUUUAAUAUGUUUUAUGCCGAUUUGUCAAUAAACGUUUAA